rnacentral:rRNA from 1 species
GAUACCCGGGUAGUCCAGGGUNUAAACGCUGCAGACUUGGUGUUGGGAACCCUUCGGGGGUGNUCAGUGCCGGAGAGAAGUUGUUAAGUCUGCUACUUGGGAGUACGUCCGCAAGGAUGAAACUUAAAGGAAUUGGCGGGGGAGCACCGCAACGGGAGGAGCGUGCGGUUUAAUUGGAUUCAACGCCGAAAAACUCACCAGCAGCGACUGUUACAUGAAAGUCAGGUUGAUAGACCUUACUAGAUUUUUCAG